rnacentral:lncRNA from 1 species
CAAAUGCUUCCAGCUGAUGAAGAGACUCCCAGAUGAGAUUUUUAAAAGUAUGAGAAGAACUUCCGCAUCAGUCUACACAAGUGUGUAGAGGAGGCAACAUGUGAAUUGCAACCCUGGCAAGAAAAAUGAAGUCGCCCUCGCCUCCAGGUUCAUCUGAGCUGCCGCGAAUACAGGAAGAAGUUCCUAACAAAGUGAAUCUUAAAACAGUGAGAGGAAGCUGUUCUGUGACCCAUGCAGAACAAAACAGCAAGCAAAAGAAAACACCGCAGGUCACAUCCUGAGGCGCAGAGAGGGGAGAAGCGUGCAGGCUACUGAGGGUGACAUUAUAGAGAAAACCAGAGCAAGAAGGUAACAACUGGAGCUGGGAAGACCAAAGAACCCUGAAAGCUACAAGAUCCCGUGAGUGUCUGGAAGAGGCCUUUGACAAUAGCCAUUUACAUGGACUCAAGCAAUCACAUUGCAGCCAGGGAGGCCAGGCAAAAACUCAGUUGCAUUGAGAAACAGUGGGUGCCUAACACUGGACAGGAUCACCAGGCUGAAGCAGG